GCCGAGCGCCAUAGGGACACCUAACUGCGUGUGCCCAGGUGCACCCGGCCUCUGAGCACCGGUGCAGGCGGUACCCUCUGCCUAUACCUCCUUCCUUCUGCAGACCCAGACUAAGUACCAUAACCUCUGGAAAGUCUUCCCUGAGCCUCUACUUCCCCAGGAUGAUCUAGCAUCUUCCUCUGGUUUCCACUGCUUUGAAAUAGGAGUGGAAACAAACAUGCACUGCGAGCCCACUGAGCACCAGGCAGUUUACACAAAUUAUUUGGAUAGGAGGGAUUCACGUAACCCUGCUUGAACAGAAGAUCAAGAAUAUUAAGUGACUUUUCCAAAGUCGUGUGGCUGGAAAACGGUGGGGAGUCUACACUUCCAGCAUUCAAUCAUGCAACAACCUCUACUGAGCUAAUAUGUGUUGGACACUUUUCAGGCGAAACGAACACUUCACCUACUUGCCUCAUUAUCCAUCUCUUCUCCUGGGAUGUAUGCUUCAGGGGAACUAGGAUCCUGGUCUGUCCUGUUCUCUGCUGUGUCCCAGUGUCCAGAACUGUGCCAGCUGUGUUGGCCAAAGAUGGACACAAAGUCACCCUACAGAAGAUACAAGACUGGAAUGUAGUAGAACUCGUGGUGAAUGAAGAAGUCG